AAUCCAUAGGUUAAUGAGGCGAACCGGGGGAACUGAAACAUCUAAGUACCCCGAGGAAAAGAAAUCAACCGAGAUUCCCCCAGUAGCGGCGAGCGAACGGGGAGGAGCCCAGAGCCUGAAUCAGCAUGUGUGUUAGUGGAAGCGUCUGGAAAGGCGCGCGAUACAGGGUGACAGCCCCGUACACAAAAGCGCAUGUGCUGUGAGCUCGAUGAGUAGGGCGGGACACGUGGUAUCCUGUCUGAAUAUGGGGGGACCAUCCUCCAAGGCUAAAUACUCCUGACUGACCGAUAGUGAACCAGUACCGUGAGGGAAAGGCGAAAAGAACCCCGGCGAGGGGAGUGAAAAAGAACCUGAAACCGUGUACGUACAAGCAGUGGGAGCACAGGUUUACCUGUGUGACUGCGUACCUUUUGUAUAAUGGGUCAGCGACUUAUAUUCUGUAGCAAGGUUAACCGAAUAGGGGAGCCGUAGGGAAACCGAGUCUUAACCGGGCGUUAAGUUGCAGGGUAUAGACCCGAAACCCGGUGAUCUAGCCAUGGGCAGGUUGAAGGUUGGGUAACACUAACUGGAGGACCGAACCGACUAAUGUUGAAAAAUUAGCGGAUGACCUGUGGCUGGGGGUGAAAGGCCAAUCAAACCGGGAGAUAGCUGGUUCUCCCCGAAAGCUAUUUAGGUAGCGCCUCGUGAACUCAUCUCCGGGGGUAGAGCACUGUUUCGGCUAGGGGGCCAUCCCGGCUUACCAACCCGAUGCAAACUGCGAAUACCGGAGAAUGUUAUCACGGGAGACACACGGCGGGUGCUAACGUCCGUCGUGAAGAGGGAAACAACCCAGACCGCCAGCUAAGGUCCCAAAGUCAUGGUUAAGUGGGAAACGAUGUGGGAAGGCCCAGACAGCCAGGAUGUUGGCUUAGAAGCAGCCAUCAUUUAAAGAAAGCGUAAUAGCUCACUGGUCGAGUCGGCCUGCGCGGAAGAUGUAACGGGGCUAAACCAU
rnacentral:rRNA from 1 species